rnacentral:lncRNA from 1 species
AACAGGUCAGGUCCUGGACUUCAGGUCCAACAUGUCCGGUCCUGGACUUCAGGUCCAACAUGUCCGGUCCUGGACUUCAGGUCCAACAGCUCAGGUCCUGGACUUCAGGUCCAACAGGUCCGGUCCUGGACUUCAGGUCCAACAUGUCCGUCCGAGUCAACAGGAUAUGUAAGGUCCAACACAGGUCAGGUCCAACUCA